rnacentral:antisense_RNA from 1 species
CUUCAGGGAGCCGAGGCGCAGCGGCUGUCCGCCGUCGCGGUCCUGGCCGUAGGUGGCGAGCAGGGCCCGGGCCUC